rnacentral:ncRNA from 2 species
AAGAGGUACCGGAACUGACGGAGAAAUGUGGAAUUGACCACGUGAACCGGUAUUAUCUGAAUCAGCCGACCGUCUGGGCAGGGAAA